UACGUAGGGAGCAAGCGUUGUCCGGAAUCAUUGGGCGUAAAGCGCGCGUAGGUGGCCUCAUAAGUCCGCUGUGAAAGUCAAAGGCUCAACCUUUGAAAGCCGGUGGAUACUGUGAGGCUAGAGUACGGAAGAGGCGAGUGGAAUUCCUGGUGUAGCGGUGGAAUGCGCAGAUAUCAGGAGGAACACCAAUAGCGAAGGCAGCUCGCUGGGACGUUACUGACACUGAGACGCGAAAGCGUGGGGAGCGAACAGG
rnacentral:rRNA from 1 species